rnacentral:rRNA from 1 species
GCAAGUCGAGCGCGCCCUUCGGGGUGAGCGGCGGACGGGUGAGUAACGCGUGGGAAUAUGCCCUUUGGUACGGAACAACAGCUGGAAACGGCUGCUAAUACCGUAUGCUCCCUACGGGGGAAAGAUUUAUCGCCAAAGGAUUAGCCCGCGUUGGAUUAGAUAGUUGGUGGGGUAACGGCCCACCAAGUCGACGAUCCAUAUCUGGUUUGAGAGGAUGAUC